AUUGAACGCUGGCGGCAGGCCUAACACAUGCAAGUCGAACGAGUGGCGGACGGGUGAGUAAUGUAUGGUGAACUGCCCGAUGGAGGGGGAUAACUACUUGAAACGGUAGCUAAUACCGCAUACACUCGCCUGUGCCCAGAUGGGAUUAGCUAGUAGGUGGGGUAACGGCUCACCUAGGCGACGAUCCCUAGCUGGUCUGAGAGGAUGACCAGCAACACUGGAACUGAGACACGGUCCAGACUCCUACGGGAGGCAGCAGUGGGGAAUAUUGCACAAUGGGCGCAAGCCUGAUACAGCCAUGCCGCGUGUAUGAAGAAGGCCUUCGGGUUGUAAAGUACUUUCAGCGAGGAGGCGUUACUCGCAGAAGAAGCACCGGCUAACUCCGUGCCAGCAGCCGCGGUAAUUC
rnacentral:rRNA from 1 species